rnacentral:lncRNA from 1 species
GGCUCGGUUUAUCCGGGGAGCUCAAAUUCCACACGCUCGCCUCUCUCCCCUCUCUCCGUAACUUAACCCUAUCCGGUAACCGCUUCUCGGGUCGGGUCGUCCCUUCCUUGGGUAAAAUCACCUCCCUCCAGCACUUGGAUCUGUCGGAUAACGGAUUCUACGGACCUAUCCCGGAUCGGAUCUCGGCUCUCUGGGGGUUGAACUACCUCAACCUCUCCGCCAACAAAUUCUCCGGCGGGUUCCCGGGCGGGUUCGGGAACCUCCAGCAGUUACGAUCUCUCGAUUUGCACGGAAACGAUGUCUACGGAGACGUCACCGAGAUCUUCGCCGAGCUGAAGAACGUUGAGUUCGUUGACUUGAGCUCUAACCGCUUCAAUGGCGGCUUGCCUCUAACCGUGUCCAGCAUCUCCAACACUCUCCGUCACUUGAAUCUGAGCCACAAUGAACUAAACGGAGGAUUCUUCAGCGGCGAUUCCAUCGGUUUGUUCAAGAAUCUCGAGGUUCUUGAUCUUGAGAACAACGAGAUCAACGGCGAGCUGCCUAGGUUUGGAUCGCAGCCUAAUUUGAAGAUCUUGAGGUUGGCGCGUAACCAGCUCUUCGGUGCGGUGCCUGGAGAGUUGCUGCAGAGUUCGAUUCCCUUGCAGGAGUUGGAUCUCAGUAGAAACGGCUUUACAGGUGAAAUUGAAAAUUACAACUUGUUUUAUACUUUUUUCAUUUUAAUUAUAGUUUAGGUUUAUGUAAUUAAAGAAAAUGGAUAUUUCUUAGAAAAAUAAACAGGAGAAUAUUGUAAAACGAAACAAAAAUAAACAGGAGUGUUUGAGCAUUGAUUUGACUAGCAUUUGAGUUAUAUGCUCUGAACCUUCUGUGCAUUUAUGGUGUUUUUCUUUAUGUAAGUGCAGGAUCAAUUAGUGAAAUCAAUUCAACUACUUUAACUUUGUUGAAUCUUUCCUCCAACGGUCUAUCUGGCGAGCUUCCAUCGAGUUUGAAGAGUUGUUUAGUUAUAGAUCUUAGCGGGAACACGUUCUCGGGUGACGUGUCCGUUGUUGGAAAAUGGGAAGCUACUCCGGAGUUUCUUGAUCUGAGCUCGAACAGUUUGUCAGGAGCCUUGCCUAACUUCACUUCAGUGUUUUCGAGAUUAACCGUGUUGAAUAUUAGGAACAACUCUGUCUCCGGUAGCUUGCCUUCACUGUGGGAUGCUUCUGGGGUUUCUCAGUUCUCUGUGAUUGAUCUCAGCUCGAAUAAGUUCAGCGGAUCCAUUCCACAAACGUUCUUCACUUUUGGGAGUUUGAGAAGUUUGAAUCUUUCAAUGAAUAACUUGGAAGGGCCAAUUCCUUUUCGUGGCUCAGGUGCUAGUGAGCUUCUGGCUUUAACUUUUUAUCCUCAGAUGGAGUCGCUUGAUCUCUCGACCAAUUCGUUGACAGGUGUGUUGCCUGGGGAGAUAGGUACAAUGGAAAAGAUUAAGGUGCUGAAUCUCGCUAACAAUAAGCUCUCUGGGGAAGUUCCAAUCGAUCUCAACAAGCUUAGUGGUCUUGAGUAUCUUGACUUGUCAAACAACGGUUUUAACGGUCAGCUUCCUGACAAGCUUCCUUCACAAAUGGUGAGGUUUAAUGUGUCUUAUAACGACUUAUCAGGCGUAGUUCCUGAAGGUUUGAGAAGCUACCCGCGUUCGUCGUUUUAUCCUGGUAACUCUAAGCUGAUUCUCCCAGGUGGAACGCCAACGGGUGUGCCUGAGAAAGAACGUCGUUCGAAGCGUAGCAUAAUGAUCGCUGUUAUCGUUGCUUCGCUUGCAGUUGCUGUUAUGGUUCUCUUUGUCUUGUUUGCGUAUCAUCGAACACAGCUCAAGAACUUUCAUGGGAGGAAUGAGUUUGCUGAUCAAGACUCGACUAGGGACGCCAAGUCUGGACGCUCUUCUCGUCCCUCUUUUCUCAACUUCGGCUCAAAUACUGGACAACAUUCUUCAUCUUUGAGCUUCUCAAACGCUCACUUGCUCACAGCAAAUUCAAGGUCCUUAUCCGGAAUACCCGAACCGGAACCCGAGAUAUCUGAGCAGGGUUUACCCCCCACCACAUCUGGACGGAGGUCUUCUUCAGGAAGCUCCCCAAUCAAUUAAUCUCGACCGGCUCGGUUUAUCCGGGGAGCUCAAAUUCCACACGCUCGCCUCUCUCCCCUCUCUCCGUAACUUAACCCUAUCCGGUAACCGCUUCUCGGGUCGGGUCGUCCCUUCCUUGGGUAAAAUCACCUCCCUCCAGCACUUGGAUCUGUCGGAUAACGGAUUCUACGGACCUAUCCCGGAUCGGAUCUCGGCUCUCUGGGGGUUGAACUACCUCAACCUCUCCGCCAACAAAUUCUCCGGCGGGUUCCCGGGCGGGUUCGGGAACCUCCAGCAGUUACGAUCUCUCGAUUUGCACGGAAACGAUGUCUACGGAGACGUCACCGAGAUCUUCGCCGAGCUGAAGAACGUUGAGUUCGUUGACUUGAGCUCUAACCGCUUCAAUGGCGGCUUGCCUCUAACCGUGUCCAGCA